rnacentral:rRNA from 1 species
UACGAAGGGGGCUAGCGUUGCUCGGAAUCACUGGGCGUAAAGGGUGCGUAGGCGGGUCUUUAAGUCAGGGGGGAAAUCCUGGAGCCCAACUCCAGAACUGCCUUUGAUACUGAAGAUCUUGAGUUCGGGAGAGGUGAGUGGAACUGCGAGUGUAGAGGUGAAAUUCGUAGAUAUUCGGAAGAACACCAGUGGCGAAGGCGACUCACUGGACACGUAUUGACGCUGAGGUGCGAAAGCGUGGGGAGCAAACAGG